CGCUGGAGCACAACUACGCUCUACCAUCGAAGCGUUGACGCUGCAGCCUGGGGCCGUCGUCGUCUUCCUCAAGGCUCGGGAUCCAGAUCGCCGUGGUGAUCCAGAUCUCGCCGAUCUCUGCUGCCUGCUCACCAGCCGGCUGGUGGGUUCUACAGGACCAGUUGGUUAUACUUCGUUGCCGUUGGUACUGCACUGUGGUACUGUUAAUUGCAAAUGGAUACCGAAAUUAUUGUCAAACACAAAGAUGACCUGGAGCGCAUGCUGCUUGAUGGAAGCGCGGAGCCAACGUACCUGCCGUUAUCACUUUUAGAAGAUAUCACAAACUGUUUCUCCGAUGCUCAGCGAAUAGGCAGCGGUGGGUUCGCAGUGGUUUAUAAGGGAAUUGUGGGAGAAGGGAUAGUCGCUGUCAAGAAGCUGUCCCAACCAUAUGGUAUGCAUGAGGAUAAAUUCCUUAAAGAGGUUGAGUGCAUGGUGAAGGCCAAGCACAAAAACAUAGUACGUUUCCUGGGAUAUUGUUAUGACACACAAGGCAGACUUGCAAACUACGAAGGGAAGCUUGUCAUGGCAGAUCUGCGGAAUUGGCUGCUAUGUUUUGAGUAUGUACCGAACGGAAGCCUCGAUAUGUAUAUUACUGGUAAUAAUCAUAACAUCUAUUUUGGUAUUUAUUUUCUUUACCAAAUGUCAUUACAUAGAACAAGAGUUCCACACAAAGAAUACAAAGAAUACUGCAAAGCCACCAGUGGAGCGUCUGUCAUCAAGAAAGCCUGCCCAAUCUGAGUCAGAGAAUGCACUGACAAGAGUGAAGGGUGAUUUGCUAAAGUUCAGUCCCAAGUUCAGAGUAUGCUUCACAUACCGAACUAUUCAUUUUGCAGCUGUCAAAUGAACAUUGGUAGGUGCAUGAAGAAACUGGCAGACUUUGUUAACAGCAAAAGAUAGAUCUGGUCUGGUAAGUGUAAGAUACUGAAGAGCUCCUACCAAACUCCUGUAUUUCGUGCUGUCCUCUUGAUUCAAGAGCUCACCUUCUGCAAGAGAUAGUUUUUCUGAACAAGACAAUGGAGUGGGAGAAGGCUUGCAUCCCUGUAGCCCAGCCUUCUUAACCAAAUCAGUGGCAUAUUUUUCCUGAGAGAGCAGAAGUCCAUCUUUGUGCUUCUUCACCUCAAUCCCAAGAAAAUAGUGCAAGUCACCAGGAUCCUUUAGAGCAAAUUCUGCACUUAGAUCUUUAAGAAGUCCUCUGAUAGCUUCAUCAGAUGAGCUGGUUACAAUAAUAUCAUCAACAUAUAUGAGAACAAAUAUGCAUGUGUUGGACUUGUUGUAGAUGAACAAUGAUGUGUCAGAUUUAGAGGGAACAAAACCAAGUGCUUGCAUUUUGUGACAGAGACGAGCAUACCAUGCCCUUGGAGCCUGUUUCAACCCAUAU